CAAACUGAUACUACUAAACGAGAUCACCUUCAUCUGUUUCCAUUAGGCUAUAGAUUGUGGCGACACACCAAAGAAGAAGCCGCAAAAGGAAGAGCAUCGAUCUUCGACAUCUUCAGAAAACACCAUAUAACAGGAGAUCAUGGUGUCCCUUUAGGAGGGAUUGGUGCAGGAAGCAUUGGAAGGAGUUACAAGGGUGAGUUUCAGCAGUUCAAGUUAUUCCCAAGAUUUGUGAGGAAGCUCCAAUCCUCACAAACCAAUUCUCUGUA